ensembl:lncRNA
CAAGUCUUGGUACAUUCAGGUCACAUUAUUCAACAUGAAGAUGCCAGGAUAUGAUCUUCCAUUUCUUAGCCUGUCUGCAGAUUAGUCAAUGGACUGUAGGUACUUCAGGUGUCCUAUAUGGCAGUUUCUGCCUUGUCCUGUCUCAAUACACAGCACUAAAGAAAAUGAACUUAAGUAAAGGGAUAACUUUAAAACAUGUUGGUUUGUGCAUAAUAAAUCUUGCAUAGCCAUUCCUGUUCAAAAAUUAAGUUACUCUUGUUCAAUUUAGUUUAGUUCAUUUGAAUUACUGUGCAGAUGAUGCCUAAGAGUGAAGAAACUCAAAUCUAGGACUGGUUACUUCCAGUAAGGGGGGGUCUCUUCCCUCCCCUCUUUUGAGAAGUGAUCUGCAUAGAUGUUCCAUAAUUGGCCUUCCUUACUAUGGAGAAAGUUAUGUUCUUCUCUUUCUGUCUCUGGAGAAGAGACACAGUGACAUCACGGGCACAGAGGCAGGUUGAGUACACAUUUUGGCCCAAAGAAUCCAAAUUUAGGUGCAUGAGGAUCCAUGAAUAUUGAGACUGUAACCACUACGUAUUUGGAGGAAUCAGAUAUCAAGAGGUAAGUAGCUGUUGAUUAUUAACAAAAAAAUCCAUUGUUCCAACAGAGGUUCCUUAUUACUGCUGAUAUUUACGUACUUAUCUGUGAUUACAAAAUGUCCUGUUUUAUUUCUGCUUUGAAGGAUAAUACAAAUGAAAAAGAACAGAGGUAGUCCGCAGGUCAAGUGUAAACAGUAAACCUAUCAUUUUUAAGGACAAAGAAAGCAUUUUUCAUUAAAACUAAUUAUUUUUUUCUGAUAAUAUUUGAUCAGUGAUCAUUAAUGCAUCAGCAUUGCUUUAUGAAAGUUGUUAAUGACCCUUAGUCCUCUGUUUUUUUGUAUCAGAAAGACCAGGGCUGGCAAUCCAAAGCCAGCAUGUAAUUAAUACCUGUGCCAGUAGUGGCAAUAAAAUUCAGUCAAAAACUUUGGGGUUACAGGGUGAAGAACAACUGUGAUUCCAGUGCAAGUGAGGGCAAAUGGAGAACUACUGGAACUUCUGUGUUUGCUGAACCUAUACUGAGAUAGUUCCAGAUUUUUGUGGGUUUUGUUUUUUUCUUUUUCUUUUUCUUUUUUUUUUUUUUUAGCUUCCUCCUGCUUUAUUUAUUUAUUUGUUUGCUUUAAAGUGGCAUGGUCAUACUGAAGCAAUACCUAAGGACGUCUUCAUCCCUCUAGCCUCCAGCAUACCCAUUCUCUUGUCCUUAAGCUUCACUGAUGGUCAUUUCCCUCUUUCUUUUUAGUCUUUCCUUCGCAUUUCCAAACUUUGAAAUCAUUGUUCUUUUAAACAGCUGUUCAGCCCUGGACUUUCCAUGUUCAUUACUCAUAGAUACAGAAAUAGAAACGGUGCAUACGCACAACAUCAUUUCCUUUGUUUUUCAAAGCUGUUUGUAGUCUUUUAAUAGACAUGCAGAGGAUGACAGACAUUGUCUUGUAUAUACAUGUAGCACGUGCCCAAACAUGGACAUUACUUGCAUAGGUUUAAAAGCAUGGGCAAAUAAAGGAAUGUUAGCAAGUAUACCACUUCUCAUUUCACUUGCUUUGCUAAAUAAAUUAUUUUAAGACAUGAGUGAAUUAAAACUUUGUCCUAAGAUCUACCUUAGUCUCUGUCAAAGGUUUCUUAUGGUGGAGAGCUUACGGAAAGGAAGGAUUGCUUGUGUCCCAGGCACUUUAUUGCAAACCUUUAUGUAUGUGGGCAGUUAUGAUGCCUUAUGUCUUAUGAGUUCUGUAGUGAAAAUGCUGGCUGUACCAGCUUCAUGUGACUUGUUCCCACUUGACUGUGCCAAACUCUUCGUAUUGCUGCAUUAUGAAUCAUAUCAAGAAAUUCAUCUGAUUGAAACUUUCCCUCAUGUUAUUUUUCAGCUCGAUCAGCUCGCUGAGGAGCCACAGGAACAGCUGUGUUGGUACAACAGUUGGUGGUGUGAGGGCAGGAUUACUUAGCAAGAGUGGACCUGCUUAAGAAACAUCCCAUCACUGCCUAAACUCACUUGCAAAGCUCAAAUGCUAGGUUAGCUGAUGUGGUGGUGUCUCUUGACUUCAAGAAGAGUGGUAAAUUCUGGCAGGAGGACAGGAGGAACUACCAAGAACCAUCGUCUGGUAAAUUAUUGAAGUAAAAUUUGCCAAAAGUUCAUUGCUUUCACUUUGGGUCAUCUGUUGAUUUUCCAGGAGAGGCUUUGCAGGAUCAUCCGUGUGGGAUAUACAACCAAUAGCAAAAUAGAGAAAUUCUUAAAAGCAAACCGACUGAAGACGCUGAGGUAAAUUCAUAACGUUAAAACUUCUUAAAAUGCUAGAGCUAAAGCAAGGGGUACAGAGUUUGAGACAAAAUACAGGUAAGGAAAGGAAUGGAACUUCAAGGAAAAAAAAUGGAAAAAGCAAGAGUUACAGGCUUUGGGUCUUGCUGUCCUUGGUUCUGGUUGCUGAAGUUCUGUUGGUGGUGCCAGUGCCAAGUUUGAUUCAUUCUUGAAGCCUGGGGGUGUUUCUAGUCAUUCCUGCUGGAUCGGCAGCACUCCCAGCUCUCAUGGCCUAUCGUGACUUGGAUAACUGGAAAACCGUCUGGGGGCCCUUGUUGACAGAACCGUGCUGAGCAUGGUGACUUCUCUUACAAAUUCCUCAUGAUGCAGGUGUUGUCACUGUUGCCAGAGAUUAUUUUGUUAUUGCUGAUGUUCUGCUGUUUGGAAUAGUAACUCCUUUCCUUUGCUCACAGUAUUGGAUGGGUUCCUGGAGUGCCUCCACUCCUUCUCUGGGUUUGAUAUUGCAGUAGGAGAUGAGAAUAAUUGCGCUUUCCAGAGAGCAAAGAAACUGAAGAUUCCAGCACUGAAGAUACCGAAGUGUGGGAAACUGGUGCUGCAGUAAUUGGUGCAUGACUCCAGAAAGGAAGAGAUUGUAGCUUUCUAAGGAGUCGUUCCGUGUGCAGGAGGCUCCCCGCACUGCUCCUGGGUGCCUGAACCUUUGUCCCAGUGCCCUCUGCUGCUAUUGCUAUUCCUGGCUUAAAGGUACAACACGAAGAAGUUAUCCCUUUUAUUUGUUUGUAAUGCAGCUUUUCCAAGUGGGGCCGACCGCAAGUCUCAGGGGGAAAAUAUUUUCAAUGCUGUGUUUUGUUUUUCCUAUUCUAAUUAAACGAGGGGU